rnacentral:rRNA from 1 species
AACGAACGCUGGCGGCAUGCCUAAACAUGCAAGUCGAACGAAACCCUCGGGUCUAGUGGCGCCCGGGUGCGUAACGCGGGGGAACCUGCCCUUUGGUUCGGAAUAACCCCCCGGAAGGGGUUCUAAUACCGGAUAAUGUCUUCGGACCAAAGAUUUAUCGCCUUUGGAUGGGCCCGCGUUGGAUUAGCUAGUUGGUAGGGUAAAAGCCUACCAAGGCGACGAUCCAUAGCUGGUCUGAGAGGAUGAUCAGCCACACUGGGACUGAGACACGGCCCAGACUCCUACGGGAGGCAGCAGUGGGGAAUAUUGGACAAUGGGCGAAAGCCUGAUCCAGCAAUGCCGCGUGAGUGAUGAAGGCCUUAGGGUUGUAAAGCUCUUUUACCCGGGAUGAUAAUGACAGUACCGGGAGAAUAAGCUCCGGCUAACUCCGUG